rnacentral:rRNA from 1 species
GUGGCAGCAGCCGCGGUAAAACCAGCACCUCAAGUGGUCAGGAUGAUUAUUGGGCCUAAAGCAUCCGUAGCCGGCUCUGUAAGUUUUCGGUUAAAUCUGUACGCUUAACGUACAGGCCGCCGGAAAUACUGCAGAGCUAGGGAGUGGGAGAGGUAGACGGUACUCGGGAGGAAGUGGUAAAAUGCUUUGAUCUCUCGAUGACCACCUGUGGCGAAGGCGGUCUACCAGAACACGUCCGACGGUGAGGGAUGAAAGCUGGGGGAGCAAACCGGAUUAGAUACCCGGGUAGUCCCAGCUGUAAACUAUGCAAACUCAGUGAUGCACUGGCUUGUGGCCAGUGCAGUGUUGCAGGGAAGCCGUUAAGUUUGCCGCCUGGGAAGUACGUACGCAAGUAUGAAACUUAAAGGAAUUGGCGGGGGAGCACCACAAGGGGUGAAGCCUGCGGUUCAAUUGGAGUCAACGCCAGAAAUCUUACCCGGAGAGACAGCAGAAUGAAGGUCAAGCUGAAGACUUUACCAGACAAGCUGAGAGGUGGUGCAUGGCCGUCGCCAGCUCGUGCCGUGAGAUGUCCUGUUAAGUCAGGUAACGAGCGAGAUCCCUGCCUCUAGUUGCCACCAUUACUCUCAGGAGUAGUGGGGCGAAUUAGCGGGACCGCCGCAGUUAAUGCGGAGGAAGGAAGGGGCCACGGCAGGUCAGUAUGCCCCGAAACUCUGGGGCCACACGCGGGCUGCAAUGGUAAUGACAACGGGUCCCGAAUCCGAAAGGAAGAGGUAAUCCUCAAACAUUACCACAGUUAUGACUGAGGGCUGUAACUCGCCCUCACGAAUAUGGAAUCCCUAGUAACUGCGUGUCAUUAUCGCGCGGUGAAUACGUCCCUGCUCCUUGCACACACCGCCCGUC